UGUGUCACAUAUUAUAUCAAGAACUUUAGGAGCUAAGAUAUUCUCUCACGAUGGAAGAGGUUAGUCCCAGUCCCGUUUGCCUGUGGACAUCUUGCAUCAUCCUCUGAACAAUCUUUCCCUUCCUUCCUCUUCUUUCCAGUUCUCGUCCCACCCUCUUCCCUCUCUUCUUUUCUUUUUUUUUUUCUCCCCUCAAGCCCAAGACUUUCCUGUCAUGCCAGGCAAUGAUUCAGCCACUUCAGUUCUGGGUGGAUGGAUAGGCAGGGCUUAAAGCAGGCAACCCUCAUGCUGUCAAAGCCAAAAAGUAGAGGAAUUAUAAAAGGGCUGAGGCAGGAGAAUCGCUUGAACCCGGGAGGCAGAGGUUGCAGUGAACCGAGAUUUAGCAAUUGCCGGCUCUCCUGAGCCCCACACGGCUUGUAUCAUGGCUAGUGAACUUCAGAGAGAUGCAUAAGGGCCAGUGAAGUAUUUUCAGUUCUGAAGCCACAGCCUGUGCCAUGUGGGGGUUUUCACCCUGCACUGAGGUGAUUGUACACACAUGCUUGCCAAGGGCUCUUCCUAUUUUUUUAGCCCUAUGUUCAGCCAAUUUCCUCCAAGGAAAACCGUGGAUGGAACUAAAUGAGAUUUCACCCACUUGGUGCAAUUUGGUCAGAGGGUGGAAUGUCCAGCCAUCCAGGUUGACCCGGGGCAGGGCCUCAGUCUCACCUGUCCUGGGAAGGGCGUCCUCAUGAGGUCAAGGCUGGAGAAAAAGCACAUAUCCAGGAACUCUAGCCCUCUGCAAGGCCUCAACAAAUGGUGGCUCUUACUGGUGUUAGUAUCACAUAUGCACAGAUAAUUUUCAGAAUCCAGAAAGGGGAUGAAGUGUACAGAUCAGUAAGUAGCACCUCUCAGAGUCUAGCAAACACAUUGACAUUUAAGCAGUGAGAUGUAUGAAUAUUAAUACAAAAUAUGAUAAAUGAAGAAAAUUCAGUAUUUUAUAAACAGUUUCAUAUCAUCCAUUUUAGGUUUUAAUAGCAAAAGAAUUUAGAGCAGGCUUAUGAAAAAGCCUUUUGCUUGCCAGAGCUUUAUGGAUUAGGGUUUUGUGAAUAACAGAUCAUGGGUCUGUAUUGCCCUAGGCAUCAAUUUCCACACAGAUCAAAAAAGAGGCUUCCCGCCUUACAGAUUCCUGGUACUGAAAUAGCCUUCAAUUUUCAAACCUGUCAGUUUACCCAAGUCAGAACUCUCACUGCCUCCCUAUUGGCCCGGAGCCACUACACAUAUUUGGUUAUAACCCAUGGAUGGAAUCUAAGUCCCCAAACAGGCCAUAUCCUGUAGGACCUUCAGGACUGGAAACCUAUGGUCUCACGGCUCUUCUUCCUUCUCCCCAAGCUGGAGGCUUUU
rnacentral:lncRNA from 1 species